GAUGAACGCUGGCGGCGUGCUUAACACAUUCAAGUCGAACGAAGCAUUUGCGACAGAUUUCUUCGGAUUGAAGUUGCUUAUGACUGAGUGGCGGACGGGUGAGUAACGCGUGGGUAACCUGCCUCAUACAGGGGGAUAGCAGCUGGAAACGGCUGGUAAUACCGCAUAAGCGCACAGUACCACAUGGUACAGUGUGAAAAACUACGGUGGUAUGGGAUGGACCCGCGUCUGAUUAGCUAGUUGGUGAGGUAACGGCCCACCAAGGCGACGAUCAGUAGCCGACCUGAGAGGGUGACCGGCCACAUUGGGACUGAGACACGGCCCAGACUCCUACGGGAGGCAGCAGUGGGGAAUAUUGCACAAUGGAGGAAACUCUGAUGCAGCGACGCCGCGUGAGUGAAGAAGUAGUUCGCUAUGUAAAGCUCUAUCAGCAGGGAAGAUAGUGACGGUACCUGACUAAGAAGCUCCGGCUAAAUACGUGCCAGCCGCCGCAGUAA
rnacentral:rRNA from 1 species